rnacentral:rRNA from 1 species
GGUUAAGCUACUAAGAGCACACGGAGGAUGCCUAGGCGCUAGGAGCCGAUGAAGGACGUGGCGAACAACGAAACUGCCUCGGGGAGCUGUAAGCAAGCUUUGAUCCGGGGGUGUCCGAAUGGGGAAACCCAGCUGGGGUAAUUUCCAGUUACUCAUAACUGAAUACAUAGGUUAUGUAGAGGCAUACCAGGGGAACUGAAACAUCUAAGUACCUUGAGGAAGAGAAAACAAUAGUGAUUCCGUCAGUAGCGGCGAGCGAACGCGGAGAAGCCCAAACCAGAGAGCUUGCUCUUUGGGGUUGUGGGACAUCUCACAUGGAGUUACAAAGGAACCGGUUAAACGAAGAGGUCUGGAAAGGCCCGCCAAAGAAGGUAAAAGCCCUGUACUUGAAAGUCUGUUCUCUCCGAGAUGUAUCCCGAGUAGUGCGGGGCACGUGAAACCCCGUAUGAAUCCGGCAGGACCAUCUGCCAAGGCUAAAUACUUCCUAGCGACCGAUAGUGAAGCAGUACCGUGAGGGAAAGGUGAAAAGCACCCCGGAAGGGGAGUGAAAUAGAACCUGAAACCGUGUGCUUACAAAAAGUCAGAGCCCGUUUUAGGGGUGAUGGCGUGCCUUUUGUAGAAUGAACCGGCGAGUUACGUUCCCGUGCAAGGUUAAGGUGAAGAGCCGGAGCCGCAGCGAAAGCGAGUCUGAAUAGGGCGAAUUAGUACGUGGACGUAGACCCGAAACCGGGUGAUCUACCCCUGUCCAGGGUGAAGGUGCGGUAACACGCACUGGAGGCCCGAACCCACGCACGUUGAAAAGUGCGGGGAUGAGGUGGGGGUAGCGGAGAAAUUCCAAUCGAACUCGGAGAUAGCUGGUUCUCCCCGAAAUAGCUUUAGGGCUAGCCUCGGAAAACAGAGUCGUGGAGGUAGAGCACUGAUUGGGUGCGGGGCCCGCAAGGGUUACCAAGCUCAGUCAAACUCCGAAUGCCAUAGACUUACUUCCGGGAGUCAGACAGUGAGUGCUAAGAUCCAUUGUCAAAAGGGAAACAGCCCAGACCAUCAGCUAAGGUCCCCAAGUGUGUGUUAAGUGGGAAAGGAUGUGGAGUUGCACAGACAACCAGGAUGUUGGCUUAGAAGCAGCCACCAUUGAAAGAGUGCGUAAUAGCUCACUGGUCGAGUGACUCUGCGCCGAAAAUGUAACGGGGCUAAACACACCACCGAAGCUAUGGCUUGAUGCUUUGCAUCAGGGGUAGGGGAGCGUUGUAUAAGGGUUGAAGGUGUACCGUAAGGAGCGCUGGACAUUAUACAAGUGAGAAUGCCGGUAUGAGUAACGAAAAGAUCAGUGAGAAUCUGAUCCGCCGAAAG